UUAAAACUCGAUUUGUCGCGAAGGAUGUUCAUAUCGUAAAGAAUAAAGAUAACUAAGUUGGAGACGACUCUAAGUUUCGAGCUUGUUGAUGAAUCCAAAGUGAUUGUUGUCUAUUUCCGAUUUUUCAUAAUUAGUAAGGAUUGGAGAUUGCUAUUAAAGAGUUGUGUUGAUUCUUAUACAAUUGCUGAUUGGAUUUAAGGGCUGCUACAAUUGUUUUUGUUUCAACACCAGUUAGAUCACAAGUAUGUGCCUACAAGCAAUGAACUACUAGUACUGCUCAAAGGUGUCAAGCGGCUUUAUGCAUGAACUAGGUAGGACAAAGUGAUUUAUGGGACUUGAUUAGAGAUAAACAACCCUUAUCCAAAGGUAAGUAAAUGUUUGUAUCGAACCUAAUCCUAAUAAAUUAGUUCUAUAAGUAUGAAGGGAGGUGAUUUAGGCGUAUAUUAAAUAUGUUUGGAUGUCCUGUAGAGUGGAAAGAUGUUUGCAAAAUUGUGUAAUACACUUUAAGUUUUUCAGCUGUACACUAAGACUGAUUUACAAGUUUUGUAUAUACAAUGCAAUU